UACGUAGGGGGCAAGCGUUGUCCGGAAUUAUUGGGCGUAAAGAGCGUGUAGGCGGUCCGAUAAGUCGGCUGUGAAAGUCCAGGGCUCAACCCUGGGAUGCCGGUCGAUACUGUCGGACUAGAGUUCGGAAGAGGCGAGUGGAAUUCCCGGUGUAGCGGUGAAAUGCGCAGAUAUCGGGAGGAACACCUAUGGCGAAGGCAGCUCGCUGGGACGUUACUGACGCUGAGACGCGAAAGCGUGGGGGAGCAAACAGG
rnacentral:rRNA from 1 species